AUUGAACGCUGGCGGCAGGCCUAACACAUGCAAGUCGAACGAGUGGCGGACGGGUGAGUAAUGUCUGGGAAACUGCCCGAUGGAGUGGGAUAACUACUGGAAACGGUAGAUAAUACCGCAUACCAUCGGAUGUGCCCAGAUGGGAUUAGCUAGUAGGUGGGGUAACGGCUCACCUAGGCCACGAUCCCUAGCUGGUCGGAGAGGAGGACCAGCCACCCGGGAACUGAGACACGGUCCAGACUCCUACGGGAGGCAGCAGUGGGGAAUAUUGCAAAAUGGGCGCAAGCCUGAUGCAGCCAUGCCGCGUGUAUGAAGAAGGCCUUCGGGUUGUAAAGUACUUUCAGCGAGGAGGCGUUACUCGCAGAAGAAGCACCGGCUAACUCCGUGCCAGCCGCCGCGGUAAUUC
rnacentral:rRNA from 1 species